rnacentral:lncRNA from 1 species
AUAUAGGCACCAAGAACACACUGAAAACAUACAACACUAUCUCACCAGCAAACACCAUAGGAGACUCCUCACUAUUACUCUCACAAUCACACACUCAUCGGAAUACGUACACACACUAUAUUGUUAUACACGCACAUACAGAUCAAAGAGGAAAGAAAUUGAGCGAGAGAGAGUGCUGGUGAGAUCAAGAAAAAAUAGAGGGAUAUUGAGACAGAUCAGAGAAAGAGAGGGUGAAAAUAAGGAGAGGGAGAGAGAGAAAACUGACGGGGGUAGAUCGUAAUCGCCGAAAAAACGUCAUCGCUGAUCCGAAAUUUAUUCUAAAAUUUUCUUCUUUUUAAUCUUUCUGAGCUCGUCGGAGUUACUUUAGCUCCGUCCCAUUCUGGCGAAAUCACUGAACCAGCUGCAUCGCCAGUCCAGUUUUCUCCAAAGUCCAACAAGCCAUUUCCUUCCCAUCACUGCCUGAGCUCACCGGAGCUCGGGUGAGUCGUGAAACAUCGAAAAAAAUAGGGGGGAUCGUCUUUGGAAUUUUGGGUUUAAAAUUCGAGCUUCGUCAGUGGUUCAUUGGUUCGAGGCUCCCAUUGUCGUUGAAAUUAGUUCAAUUGGUCGAAUAAAAGCCUCAAUUUAAGGUCCAUCUCUUUAUCUCAUUCUUAUCCUCGGUUAAUUUUUAUUGUUGUGUGUGUUUAAUUGUUAUCGUCUCGACUUUUUCUUAUCUUAUGCGUGAUAUGAAUGAUGAAUGUCGAGUGAUAUUGAUUGUGGAUUAUUAUCGUUGAUUUGUUAUGUUGGAACAACGGUUAAAAAUGAUUUGAGGAUGGGAAUCGGAAGUUAAUGGAAUCGAUUGUUUGAUUUGAAAUGGAUAUUAAUAUUGUUGAAUUCGGAUAAAUUUUGAUUCAUUGAUGUUGAAUGUGAUAGAAUCGUGAUAGGUCGAGCGGGUAGGCAAGCACUAGGCUCGGGUAGGCAAAAUUUAGAAUUGGUGGAUUAUUGAGUAAUUUGGAAUGUUUGUUGAAUGAUUUUCUUUUCUCGCAUUUGAAAAUGUAUUCGUUUUGCCAGGGAAUACCCCAUGGUCACUUGUAUUUAUUCACCGAAGAGUGCCCCGAAGUACCGUAUACGCAAAGAAGGUUCAUGAUGAAAGCCCGAGGCAUCAAAUAACGCAUUGGAAUUUAGUGCAGGAGUAGGUUAGGGAUAGUUCAGAAUAGAAUAAGUUUACAUUUUCACAUUUUUCAUUAUUUUUUAUUUGUAAUAAAUUGGACUAGAUAAACCUUGAAUUGUUUUGUUUUGUUUGCUUGAUUGUUCAACGUGCUUUGUGUGGUCUAUA